GAUGGACGCUGGCGGCGUGCCUAAUACAUGCAAGUCGAGCGAACAGAUGAGGAGCUUGCUCCUCUGACGUUAGCGGCGGACGGGUGAGUAACACGUGGAUAACCUACCUAUAAGACUGGGAUAACUUCGGGAAACCGGAUCUAAUACCGGAUAAUAUAUUGAACCGCAUGGUUCAAUAGUGAAAGACGGUUUUGCUGUCACUUAUAGAUGGAUCCGCGCCGCAUUAGCUAGUUGGUAAGGUAACGGCUUACCAAGGCAACGAUGCGUAGCCGACCUGAGAGGGUGAUCGGCCACACUGGAACUGAGACACGGUCCAGACUCCUACGGGAGGCAGCAGUAGGGAAUCUUCCGCAAUGGGCGAAAGCCUGACGGAGCAACGCCGCGUGAGUGAUGAAGGUCUUCGGAUCGUAAAACUCUGUUAUUAGGGAAGAACAAAUGUGUAAGUAACUAUGCACGUCUUGACGGUACCUAAUCAGAAAGCCACGGCUAACUACGUG
rnacentral:rRNA from 1 species